rnacentral:miRNA from 1 species
AUUCUAAGACGGUUAUCUGGGACC